UAAGAAAAUGAAGGAUUAGCAAUUGUUAAUGUUAAACCUCACUUCUGACUCUCUUUUCCAUUUCAUUUUAGGUAAGAAUAAUUGCAGAUCUUCCCUUGUAAAUGUGACUGUUAUCUACAGUGGUUGCAAGAAAAGAGUUCAGAUGGCAAAAUGCACAGGGGAAUGUGAAAAGACUGCCAAGUACAAUUAUGAUAUCUUACUCUUGGAACAUUCAUGCCUUUGCUGCCGAGAAGAAAACUAUGAACUCAGAGACAUUGUACUUGACUGUCCUGAUGGCAGUACAAUCCCUUACCAAUACAAGCAUAUCACGACCUGCUCUUGUUUAGACAUAUGCCAACUAUAUACGACCUUCAUGUACAGUUAAUGCUGACAUCACCUUCCCAGUUUUAACAGGCCUGGUAUUUAUUUUAUAAGUGAGGAAAAAUAAUCAUUUAAAAAGUGAGAAUAAACUAAACAAUGUGAGAAUAACUCAAAACAAUGAGUUCUCAUUGUGAGGAAUUUUGUUCUCUUGUUGACUGGAUCUGAAAAAUAAACACAACUUGACAAGC
rnacentral:lncRNA from 1 species